rnacentral:lncRNA from 1 species
CAUUAUCCAAUAUAUUGGAUGAAUGAGACAUAUGGUCCGUAUUAGCAUGUUCUUUCUUAGUCUGAUAUUAAUAAUAAAGUUAAAUUAAGGCUAGCAAUUUUGGCUAGUUCGUGCAAUUGAUGUAACAUCUAUAGUUGAAAAUUUGAUAUUAUUUGGAUUAUUGGGUUUGCUAAGUGUAUACAAAAUUUUGAGAUAAUCUAACAAUGUCGUUUAGAAAUAUCUAGUUUUUAGCAGAAGAGGGUUUCAAAAGGUGGCAGUUUGAGGUUGGGUAGGAUUUCUAUGAUAUCAAAAGAUCUAUUAGUUGGAUUAAGGUGAAAAUUGGCAUAGUCUUGAAGGACUUGAAGGUCAAGCUAUAUAUCAAUUUUGAGACAAAGUUAAUAGUUGAAAAGGGAGAAAUCACUACUAGGAUUUCUACUUCACUUUUCAAAUUAGCAAUCAAGUGAUAUUAGUGCAAUUUUUGGAGGCUUUUUCACAAUCUUUAAGUUGGAUUGGGCUAAACAUUCUUAAGCAUAUAGAAGACUUACAUUGAAAAUUGUAUGCAAAAUUUACAUCAAGUGGAUGGUCG